rnacentral:ncRNA from 15 species
AAACAGUACGGCGGCUGUGAACUAAACUCUAAUUUGGUCGCUUGGAGGGUGCAGAGACCCGCCGAGAGUUUAGGGAGCCAAGUAGCGAAACCGGCCCACAUGGUC